rnacentral:rRNA from 1 species
GAUUAUGGCUCAGGAUGAACGCUAGCGACAGGCUUAACACAUGCAAGUCGAGGGGCAGCACGGGAGUAGCAAUACAACUGGUGGCGACCGGCGCACGGGUGAGUAACGCGUAUGCAACCUACCUAUCAGAGGGGAAUAACCCGGCGAAAGUCGGACUAAUACCGCAUAAAACAGGGGCACCGCAUGGUGAUAUUUGUUAAAGAGAUUCGCUGAUAGAUGGGCAUGCGUUCCAUUAGGUAGUUGGUGAGGUAACGGCUCACCAAGCCGACGAUGGAUAGGGAACUGAGAGGUUGGUCCCCCACACUGGUACUGAGACACGGACCAGACUCCUACGGGAGGCAGCAGUGAGGAAUAUUGGUCAAUGGGCGGGAGCCUGAACCAGCCAAGUCGCGUGAAGGAAGAAGGAUCUAUGGUUCGUAAACUUCUUUUGCAGGGGAAUAAAGUGCAGGACGUGUCCUGUUUUGUAUGUACCCUGAGAAUAAGGAUCGGCUAACUCCGUGCCAGCCGCCGC